rnacentral:rRNA from 1 species
GAUGAACGCUGGCGGCAUGCCUAAUACAUGCAAGUCGAACGGAGAAGGAAGGUGCUUGCAUCUUCCGGAUCAGUGGCGAACGGGUGAGUAACACGUAGGUAACCUGCCCAUGUACCCGGGACAACGGUUGGAAACGACUGCUAAAACCGGAUAGGCAUAUGGAAGGCAUCUUCGAUAUGUUAAAGGGGCCACGGCCCUGGACAUGGAUGGACCUGCGGUGCAUUAGCCAGUUGGUGAGGUAACGGCCCACCAAGGCGACGAUGCAUAGCCGACCUGAGAGGGCGAACGGCCACAUUGGGACUGAGACACGGCCCAAACUCCUACGGGAGGCAGCAGUAGGGAAUUUUCGUCAAUGGGGGGAACCCUGAACGAGCAAUGCCGCGUGAGUGAAGACGGUCUUCGGAUUGUAAAGCUCUGUUGCGAGAGAAAAAGGACAGGAAGAGGGAAUGCUUCCGGUUUGAUGGUAUCUCGCCAGAAAGUCACGGCUAACUACGUG